rnacentral:lncRNA from 1 species
UCCUGAAAACCGAUAAAUCUUUAUCCCAAAGUUAUGACAUUUAACUGAAAAUCCCAAGUUUUAAUGAAAUAAACAGGUACAUGUAUAUUUGUAGACAAUCAAAUCCUCCAAAUGGUUAUUCCUAUUCCUAAAAUAAAAACAAACUUAUAAAAGGUAUUGAUAUAAUCGUUUUUUUUUUUUAUAAAUAUGGUACACAUCAACUCUGUAAGAAGACAAAAAGACAUUUAUAAUUUUUAAACUGACCUAUAACUACAAGAACAUUAAUUGCGUCAUUGCUUGGAUAGCAGAAUCAAAGAGCACAUGGUUCUCACUUAGGCGAGUCCAUGAGUCCUGGACUCAUGAAAAUCUGUCUAGACUCGCCAUUUUUAAAACUGGUGGGUCCAAAGAUUGAAAUAUUUUGUAUAAAUCAUUUUAUAGCAAAAGUUUCAAGGUAAUCUGAAUUUAAUGUCAGUUCAUUACUCUAGCAAUUAAUAUUAGGUCAUGUAGUCUAAAAUAAUUAAUUACAUUGCAAUAAAAUAUCUUCUUCCUACUAUUGGACUCACUAUGGCCAAAAAUGAUGAGUCCCUGGAAUUGCCUUUAAAAAGCCUUAGUAAGAACCCUGGAACAGAUUUCACACUUUCUUGUACUUUUUUCUCUAUCUUUAUAGGGCUAACAAGUAUUUUUUUCCCACAGAAACGAUUUCACACUUUCAAUUUUCAAGGUGCUAAAUGGACCAAUCCACACAUUCAAAAAGUGAAUUCAUUUACCCAAUGCAAAGUAAAGGGAAAUAACUCACUUAUCCUUCUCAAAAAUAGUUGUAUCCUAUACAAAUAGGAAAGUGCAUUUAUGAAGGCCUGCUUAAAGUGGAUACAAAUAAUUUAUCUGAUUAACACAUUGCCUAAGUG